CUGUAAAUGAACUCCCCGCAGAAGGUCCAGUCCUCCUGGUUGCUCACUGUGGUUUGGAUCCCGACCCACAGGUCCGUUGAGGACAAGAAAGAUGGAGCCUUCAGUUUCCUGAUCUUUGCACUAUGUCACUGUGCCUUUGCUGUGCCACCUCCUUUGCUUGCCACUGCUGUUGCCAGGCCAGGGAGUCACAGCCUUGGCAGCCAAGCUCCAGGAGACCUGAGUCCAAAACUGUAGGUUUGGCAGUGAUGAGCAGUUGAAGAGCAGCAGGCCCCUAAACU
rnacentral:lncRNA from 1 species